rnacentral:rRNA from 1 species
GACGAACGCUGGCGGCGUGCUUAACACAUGCAAGUCGAACGGAAAGGCCCUGCUUGCCGGGUGCUCGAGUGGCGAACGGGUGAGUAACACGUGGGUGAUCUGCCCCUUACUUUGGGAUAAGCCUGGGAAACUGGGUCUAAUACUGGAUAGGACCAUGCUGUAGGUGGUGUGGUGGAAAGAUUAGUUUCGGUAAGGGAUGAGCUCGCGGCCUAUCAGCUUGUUGGUGGGGUAAUGGCCUACCAAGGCGUCGACGGGUAGCCGGCCUGAGAGGGUGGACGGCCACAUUGGGACUGAGAUACGGCCCAGACUCCUACGGGAGGCAGCAGUGGGGAAUAUUGCACAAUGGGCGCAAGCCUGAUGCAGCGGCGCCGCGUGGGGGAUGACGGCCUUCGGGUUGUAAACUCCUUUCAGCCAUGACGAAGCCUUCGGGUGACGGUAGUGGUAGAAGAAGCACCGGCUAACUACGUG